CAGCAGCCACGGUAAAACGGAGGGGGCUAGCGUUGUUCGGAAUUACUGGGCGUAAAGCGCACGUAGGCGGCUUGGUAAGUUAGAGGUGAAAGCCUGGAGCUCAACUCCAGAAUUGCCUUUAAGACUGCCGAGCUAGCAGGUGAGAGAGGUAAGUGGAAUUCCGAGUGUAGAGGUGAAAUUCGUAGAUAUUCGGAAGAACACCAGUGGCGAAGGCGGCUUACUGGCUCAUACUGGACGCUGAGGUGCGAAAGCGUGGGGAGCAAACAGGAUUAGAUACCCCAGUAGUCCCUGUCUCUUAUAC
rnacentral:rRNA from 1 species